rnacentral:rRNA from 1 species
GGGGGGGGGGGGGGGGGGGGGGGGGGGGGGGGGGUGGGGCGGAGGGGGGGGGGUCUUGCUGCUCUGACGGUGGGGGCGGGGGGGUGCGUACCGCGUGGCUCAGCUCCCUGUACGACGGGGAUGACUUCGGGAAACCGGAGCUAAUACCGGAUAAUAUAUUGCACCUCGUGGUUCCAUAGUUAACUACGGUUUUUCUGUCCUUUAUAGAUGGAUCCUCGCCGCAUGAUCUAGUUGGUAAGGUAACGGCUUACAAAGGCAACGAUGCGCAGCCGACCUGCGAGGGUGAUCGGCCACACUGGAACUGAGACACGGUCCAGACUCCUACGGGAGGCAGCAGUAGGGAAUCUUCCGCAAUGGGCGAAAGCCUGACGGAGCAACGCCGCGUGAGUGAUGAAGGUCUUCGGAUCGUAAAACUCUGUUAUUAGGGAAGAACAAAUGUGUAAGUAACUAUGCACAUCUUGACGGUACCUAAUCAGAAAGCCACGGCUAACUACGUG